UUAUAUUUCUGACAGUUGAAGGUUACCAAAGAAUCACAAUCUACCCAAGGUACAACAGGUGGGAGGUCUUAGAGGUGGCAUGAUGGUUGAUCAUGUAAGCAACAAGGGGAUCAACGCUCAUGGACACUUAUUUUGGGCAGUGCUUAUGGGCAUUUUUAUUUUGGGUAGUGCUCAUUUGGAAUAUCUAGGCUGGCUUCUAUUAUUUUGUAAAUGUGGGCAUGUGGCUGCUGCUUGAAAUGUGGUCUGUGACAAACCCAACAGACUAUCUAGCUAGCUUGACUUGAGCACUGUGACAUCACAAAUGAUGUCUAUGAUGAAGCUUUGCCAACCAAUUAUGUAUUGUUGAAUAUAUGUAGGAUUCAUAUGAAAACUAUGAGCUCUACUUUAGUCAA